rnacentral:tRNA from 1 species
GCCUGGCUGGCUCAGUCAGAAGAGCAUGUGACUCUUGACCUUGGGGUUGUGAGUUCAAGCCCCACGUUGGGUG